UUGUGGGGCAAGGUGGGGAUGGCCCUCACAGGGCGGAUGCGCAGAUCUCAGGCUCUGGUGUGAGUGGGGGUAACGGCCCAUUCAAGGCGACGAUGGGUAGCUGGUCUGAGAGGACGGCGAUGCCACACUGGUACUGGUACACGGUCCAGAACCCUACGGGAGGCAGCAGUGAGGAAUUCUGCGCGGAUGGGCGGUCAGUGCUGACAUCAUGGGAAUGACACGGCGUGGCGAUGCACACGUGAGUGCCCAUGUCCGAGCGUCCGGUCGUAGGCACGCGUAGUGCAAAGGUGUCGCGCGUAUGAGGGAGAAUCAGUCAGCGACCGCUGCGAGCUGUCUUCAGAGUUAUACGUGCGCCACGCGGGAGUGCAAAUAGCACCUGGGUUUACCCCGGUGACCUGAAGUAAUAGGGUAAACGGUCCACCCC
rnacentral:rRNA from 1 species